rnacentral:rRNA from 1 species
GACGAACGCUGGCGGCGUGCUUAACACAUGCAAGUCGAACGGAAAGGCCCUGCUUGCAGGGUACUCGAGUGGCGAACGGGUGAGUAACACGUGGGUGAUCUGCCCUGCACUUCGGGAUAAGCCUGGGAAACUGGGUCUAAUACCGGAUAGGAGCCAUUUUUAGUGUGAUGGUUGGAAAGUUUUUUCGGUGUAGGAUGAGCUCGCGGCCUAUCAGCUUGUUGGUGGGGUAAUGGCCUACCAAGGCGGCGACGGGUAGCCGGCCUGAGAGGGUGGACGGCCACAUGGGGACUGAGAGCCGGCCAAGACCCCGACGGGGGGCAGAGGGGGGGAUGUUGGAAAAAGGGGCGCAGGCUGGAUGCGGCGCGGCCGGGGGGGGGAUGCCGCCGUGGGGUUUGAAACCUCUUUUCGCAAGGGACGAAGCUUUUUGGGACGGACCCUAGAAAAGAAGCCCCGGCUACCUAGGUG